rnacentral:snRNA from 1 species
AUCGCUUCUCAGCCUUUUGGCUAAGAUCAAGUCUAUUUUUUUAUUUUUAAUUUUGUUUUAUUUUAUUGGUACUUGGCAUCAAACUUGGGACCUUGUGCUUGCAAGGCAGGUGGCAGCAGGUGAGCUAAAUCCCCA